rnacentral:rRNA from 1 species
UGACGUCAAAUCAUCAUGCCCUUAUGACCUGGGCUACACACGUGCUACAAUGGGCGGUACAAAGGGUCGCGAACCCGCGAGGGGGAGGCCAAUCCCAAAAAAGCCGCUCUCAGUUCGGAUUGCAGGCUGCAACUCGCCUGCAUGAAGCCGGAAUCGCUAGUAAUCGCGGAUCAGCAUGCCGCGGUGAAUACGUUCCCGGCCUU